rnacentral:rRNA from 1 species
AACGAACGCUGGCGGCAGGCCUAACACAUGCAAGUCGAACGCCGUAGCAAUACGGAGUGGCAGACGGGUGAGUAACGCGUGGGAACAUACCCCUCGGUUCGGAAUAACUUAGGGAAACUUGAGCUAAUACCGGAUACGUCCGAGGUUUUAACCGGCCUCGGAGAAAGAUUUAUCGCCGGAGGAUUGGCCCGCGUCUGAUUAGCUUGUUGGUGAGGUAAUGGCUCACCAAGGCGACGAUCAGUAGCNGGUCUGAGAGGAUGAUCAGCCACAUUGGGACUGAGACACGGCCCAAACUCCUACGGGAGGCAGCAGUGGGGAAUAUUGGACAAUGGGCGAAAGCCUGAUCCAGCCAUGCCGCGUGAGUGAUGAAGGCCUUAGGGUUGUAAAGCUCUUUUACCCGGGAAGAUAAUGACGGUACCGGGAGAAUAAGCCCCGGCUAACUUCGUGCCAGCAGCCGCGGUAAU